rnacentral:rRNA from 1 species
AUUGAACGCUGGCGGCAUGCCUUACACAUGCAAGUCGAACGGCAGCACGGGAGCAAUCCUGGUGGCGAGUGGCGAACGGGUGAGUAAUGUAUCGGAACGUACCUUUCAGUGGGGGAUAACGUAGCGAAAGUUGCGCUAAUACCGCAUAUUCUGUGAGCAGGAAAGCAGGGGAUCGCAAGACCUUGCGCUGAUUGAGCGGCCGAUAUCAGAUUAGCUAGUUGGUGAGGUAAAGGCUCACCAAGGCGACGAUCUGUAGCGGGUCUGAGAGGAUGAUCCGCCACACUGGAACUGAGACACGGUCCAGACUCCUACGGGAGGCAGCAGUGGGGAAUUUUGGACAAUGGGCGCAAGCCUGAUCCAGCCAUGCCGCGUGAGUGAAGAAGGCCUCGGUUGUAAG